rnacentral:sRNA from 2 species
GCUCCGUUCAUUGGGGAGUAGCCACCCUCUGUUAUAGAGGGGUCUUCGUCAACACACUUGGUCAGCAGACCAUGGCGGAGACAGCGUUUUAGAAAAAACGCCCAGCAAGACCAACGGCAUCAUUGCUUCCGCUGUGGCCGGGAGGCGAUGUGUGCUGUUUUGUGUUUUGCGGCCCUUGGACUU